CAGCGAGAGCAGUUUGUGUGAGGAAAGACAGCUAAUGUCUUCUAUGCUGUUUGAACGCUGUAAGGAAAAGCCUCUUGCAGGAUGAGAGUUUAGUAAGGUUGUUUCUAAGCCCUUGCAUCUCAAAGCUCUGAGCCUUGAGGGAGGAUUAUGAGCAAGAAGAAGUUAUGUGCUUUCACCUAUGCCAUCUGUGAUGUUUGUAUUUCUUGGUGACCUUUUCAACAGUUUGUUGUUCUCAUUCUUCUGUCCAUAUGAGAGAGAUGGAAUUCUCCAAGGGAAGCUACUUGAACAUAUGGCAAGGAUCCUCAUCUCCCAGACCAGAGCUCCAAAGCAGAGAGCACAGCCCUGACAUUUAAAGCUUCCAGAUUUUCAAGCAUAUAAUCUGAAUUACAAAAUUUUCCUCGUCUUGUACCUGGAAUUCUUGCUAUAGCUUUAGUAUAACUUGCAGUAUUAUAAAUGUGAGUCACUCAAUAAUCUGUAAUAUUCAAGCAAUGCUUUGCUUUAAUGCUCUGCAUGUUGAAUAAAGCAGCAAGUGACUAUUGGAAAACAUUUAGCUGUGUUUCUGGUUCACUGUCUCAUUGUGACGCUGAUCAAAACGCUAUAUUAAAAAAAAAAAAAGAAAUAU